rnacentral:rRNA from 1 species
UACGUAGGGUGCAAGCGUUGUCCGGAAUUAUUGGGCGUAAAGAGCUCGUAGGCGGUCUGUUGCGUCUGCUGUGAAAACCCGGGGCUUAACCCCUGGCUUGCAGUGGAUACGGACAGACUAGAGGUAGGUAGGGGAGAAUGGAAUUCCCGGUGUAGCGGUGAAAUGCGCAGAUAUCGGGAGGAACACCGGUGGCGAAGGCGGUUCUCUGGGCCUUACCUGACGCUGAGGAGCGAAAGCGUGGGGAGCAAAACGG